AGCAAAUAAGUCCAAUCUGACGCGCGGUCGAACCUCUGCUCCGAUCCCUAGCAUUCGCAUCUUCGAUUACGCCCGCAGCCCCUUCUCGAUCGGUUACAGCCAUCGAUCGCGCCUCUCCCUCCUCCUCCAGCAACUUCGUAGUCUCCGUUCCGUCGCAAGGUCAUGACCUUCUACACCUUCGGCCUAUCUACGAUCGUCUCCUCGUAGUUCCGGCUCCAAGUUCAUUGAGGUUUCCUUCUCGAGUGAAGAUUACCAGGAAGAAGUACAUGACUAUGUCUUUUCUCAGGUCCUUUCCGGGCGUACAGUUACCGCAAGUUCUCAGGCUAUUGGAGCAAGAUGUGGAGACUGUCCUCAACGUACUGCAGCCAGGACCUUUAGGGAUCCUUGAGCACAAGUUCUCGGUGGCAGAGGUGCAAGAAGCGAAGGCCACUGUUAGAAGAGCAAUUGAGAACUGGCAAAGGAAUUCGUCCCUCGUAAAAGUUGCUUCUACUCAGCAUAGCUCAGAAGGUACACCAUCACACAGCGGAUAAAUCUCUUGCUCCUAUGGUUGCAAGAAUUCAACAACAUCAAGUUCUGGGAUCACAAUUAGAUGCGAUUCACUAUUCUCUUGGCAUCAUCAGCAUGCUCCGAUCACUCUCUCUAGUUUCCUUUCAUCGUCUUAUGGAACCAUGUAAAUCUUCUAAGAAAGCGAGAAAUUGAAGCUAAUAAGGACUUGAUAGAAUUUUUCUUCAUCUGAAUCGGAAUUGUCAUGACUAUUUCUACUAAACAGUAGCCUAAUAUGUUCCUUUCAUGAGUGGCCUAAAACCAAAUUAGCACAAUAUAUUUCAUAGUUGCUGAGAAGAAAUUUGGACUGACAUGAUCUUGUCACUUCCCUAAUGACCCUCUGUAUAUUUUUGAUCAGGAAUUUGAGUGCCUGAUGUCUCUGGUAUCCCUCUUUAGUUGUAAUACAUUUUUGUUAAUUUUGAAUUUGAAUAGAAUAAUAAAACAUUAUUAUUAUUAUUA